rnacentral:tRNA from 1 species
GGGUUUGUAGCUCAGUUGGCUAGAGCGAUUUUGUGUCGAGGGUUCAAGUCCUUCCAAACCCA